AUGUGUGUACAUGCGAGUGUAUUGCUCGACUGUCAGUGUAAUAGUUGUGUCUGUGUUAAGCAAGUUUAACAAAAUGACAACGAAAAUUAAUUUAACAACCCCGAAUGGCAUAGAACUUGAGUAUUGCUUUGCAAAGGGGAUAUAUUUUAGAGCCUCAACGCUAGAGCACCUGACCGAUGGUGACCUGUCCAAACAAGUUGAAAACGUGCAAAACCUUCCGAUUCGUGAUGACGACGUCUACCUUGUUACGUUUCCAAAGUCAGGAACUCACUGGCUCUGGGAAAUCGUCUGCAUGCUACGAAAGGGCAAAUCUGAGUACGAAAAGGACGUAAAGGAAGUGGCAUUCCUUGACUUCAAGUCCACAGAACAAAUCGAGGCACUUCCGUCUCCUCGUGUCAUCAACUGUCACUAUCCCGUUCAUCUUACUCCGCGAGAGAUAUUCACGAAAGGCAUCAAGAUUAUCCACGUACAAAGGAAUCCAAAGGAUAUAGCCGUUUCGUACUUCAAUCAUAUUUUUAAGUUUAGCAAAAAGCCUUCACCGUUGAAAACGUUCAGCGACUUCCUGCCUUUAAUGCUCGGGUCGUACGGCAUAGAUCUAUAUUACCCUUGGUGCAAAUAUGUAAAGGAGUGGGAAAAGUUUUCCAGAAAACAUCCUGAUCAAAUUCUUAACAUGAACUUUGAAGACGUAAAAGAGAACCCGAUUCGGGAGAUUCGCAAAGUCAACGAGUUUCUUGGAACAAAGUGCAGCGACGAGCUUAUAGCCGAUAUAUCUGAGGCUUGCGAGUUUGAAAAUCUGAAGAAAGCGGACGCUGAAGUGAAAGACAAAAAGGCGUUUUUCAAUCAUGAAGGACCUUCCCCAAUGUAUCGUAAAGGUAUUAAAUAACAGGGAACUGUUAUGGAUGUGGUUUUGUGCUGGGUCGAACACACCGUUCAAUCGCCUCCAGCGACGACUAUGGAUCAUGCAACUACUGAGGCGAAGUUGGCGAUUGGAAGAACUGGUUCACAGUGAGUGAAAGCAAGCAGAUGGACCGAUGGCUCAGUGACAAUUUAACCGACACCGACUUGAAGUUCAGAUAUGAAUUAUAACGACGAAAUCGAUUUGCAAUGGAUUAAAGGCACACACCUUGAAAUGAAAUACAUGGCAUAGUAAAUUAAAGUAUAAAUAAGAAACAUUUUAUCUAUGCCAAUUAGCAUAUAUCUGGUGGUAACAAGGUAGAAAUCCGUCUUUUUUGCGCUUUACAACUUAAAAAUAAUCGCGUUUGUCGAAAUGGACGUAUACGUCUAGAUAUCCUACUUUCGGUUUUAAAAGCGGUACCGUUUGAAAAAUAAUAUAUUAUAUGCUAACUAGGCAACAUAUUAAAUUUUAUCUAUGCCAAUUAGAAUAUAACUGGUGGUAACAAGGUACAAAUCCGUCUUUUUGCGCUUUAAAACUUAAAAUUAAUCGCGUUUGUUGAAAUGGACGAAUACGUAUAGAAAUGAUACUUUCGGUUUUAAAUUAAAAAAAUAAAUAAAUUACUUGCUAACUAAGCUAUAGAUUUAAUCACAAUUUUGCACACUUUCAAAUUGCAUCUAUAUGUAUAGAUUAACAUGUAUUUCAUUUCAAGGUGUAUGGCUUUAAGCCUCGUGAAAUAUUAUUGUUUUGGCACAGCAUUGAAAGUCAAUUGACACUAGAGUUCAUGUAUCUCUUCACUCUUGCUUGGAUAAACAUUGAUUAAUUAUUGAAGAUACGUUGAAAAUAUUUAUUCACAAACCUUUUUAUUUCAACGAUUGACGAAUUUAAAUUUGUAAAUAGUUAUUUUGUCCGGUAUUUCAAAAAUCAUAUAUUGGAUUACCUUAGACAUGGAAAAGAUAAAUAUCAAUCGUUAUCUACGCAUAGGUGCUGUACCAGUUUUGAAGUGUAGAUAAAUCCAGAUUUUCGAUAAAAUUGAUUACAUUAUUCUGUGAAAUUAAAUGCAGUUAAUCUGCAUCGAUGACUUCGUGUAGGCACAUGAGUAGGGAUUUACGCAUAUCUUUAUGAACUAUUGUGGGUAUUUUUGUAUUUCGGGUUUUUGCGAAGGUUAAGAAGCAAUCUUUCGGCGGAUCAAAGACAAUAAACGCAAUUAAAUGAUGACGAUGUUCUUGUCAACACCUUAUUAAAAUAAUCCCUGCGCCUUAAUUACCGAAAAAAACUACAUAUGGAUGUGUAAUUGUUUGGUUAUUGUAAACUACAUUUACUAGCAAAUAGCUUAAGUGUGUAUAAGUGGUUGGAAUCGGUUCCCCAAAACCGAGGUGAUUAAUCGGAGACCAUACUCCGUGAUUAAUCGAUUAUUCAGCAUUUUAUACAAAAAAUGAACUUUUUAAUAUUUUUACCGCUUUUUUUGUUGAUAUAAACAUUAUAUUGCUAUAUUUUACAAAAAAAGAACUUUAUCAUGAAUAUUCCUUAUGUGUUUUGUGAUUUAAUAAUUAAUAAAUGCUAAAAAAUCUUG